AUUGGAAGGUGUUGGAGUAGUUUCAAAUUUUAAUAUUUAACAAAUAAUUUCUCAGAUAUUUCUAAAGUUAUUUGAAAUAUAAAACAAGUUGCACAUGCUCAUUUUAAGAUAAAGCAAAAAGAAGCUUUUGCGUAAUAUUGUUAAGCUUAACCAUAGUAGACUUCUAUCCAGCAAUUUUUUAAGCUUAACUAUAGUUUUAUCCAGACAUUUAUCCAGCAACUUUUUCAAUCAGGUAUGUUUUCGAAACCAGAUGAGGAAACUGUAAAAAAAUCUCCAAGAUGUUUGGUUCAUUUAUGGGAGUUUUUACUUGAAAUGUUAAUGGAUGAUUCGUUUACAUCGAUAAUUGAAUGGACAGACGAAA